ACUCAAAUGAAUUGACGGGGACCCGCACAAGCAGUGGAGCAUGUGGUUUAAUUCGAUGCAACGCGAAGAACCUUACCCAGGCUUGACAUGCACAGGACAGCACCAGAGAUGGUGCCUCCCUUCGGGGCCUGUGCACAGGUGCUGCAUGGCUGUCGUCAGCUCGUGCCGUGAGGUGUUUGGUUAAGUCCAGCAACGAGCGCAACCCUUAUCAUUAGUUGCCAACAUUUCGGAUGGGAACUCUAAUGAGACUGCCUGGGUUAACCAGGAGGAAGGUGAGGAUGACGUCAAGUCCGCAUGGCCCUUAUGUCUGGGGCUACACACGUGCUACAAUGGCCGGUACAGAAGGCAGCAAAUCCGCGAGGUAGAGCAAAUCCCUAAAACCGGUCCCAGUUCGGAUUGUAGUCUGCAACUCGACUACAUGAAGUUGGAAUUGCUAGUAAUGGCGUGUCAGCAACAACGCCGUGAAUACGUUCCCGGGUCUUGUACACACCGCCCGU
rnacentral:rRNA from 1 species